AGAGUUUGAUCCUGGCUCAGGACGAACGCUGGCGGCGUGCUUAACACAUGCAAGUCGAACGGAAAGGCCUUCGGGGUACUCGAGUGGCGAACGGGUGAGUAACACGUGGGUGAUCUGCCCUGCACUUUGGAUAAGCCUGGGAAACUGGGUCUAAUACCGAAUACACCUCGCUGGCCGCAUGGUCUGGUGGGGGAAAGCUUUUGCGGUGUGGGAUGGGCCCGCGGCCUAUCAGCUUGUUGGUGGGGUGAUGGCCUACCAAGGCGACGACGGGUAGCCGGCCUGAGAGGGUGACCGGCCACACUGGGACUGAGAUACGGCCCAGACUCCUACGGGAGGCAGCAGUGGGGAAUAUUGCACAAUGGGCGCAAGCCUGAUGCAGCGACGCCGCGUGGGGGAUGACGGCCUUCGGGUUGUAAACCCCUUUCAGCACAGACGAAGCGCGAGUGACGGUAUGUGCAGAAGAAGGACCGGCCAACUACGUGCCAGCAGCCGCGGUAAUACGUAGGGUCCGAGCGUUGUCCGGAAUUACUGGGCGUAAAGAGCUCGUAGGUGGUUUGUCGCGUUGUUCGUGAAAACUCACAGCUCAACUGUGGGCGUGCGGGCGAUACGGGCAGACUAGAGUACUGCAGGGGAGACUGGAAUUCCUGGUGUAGCGGUGGAAUGCGCAGAUAUCAGGAGGAACACCGGUGGCGAAGGCGGGUCUCUGGGCAGUAACUGACGCUGAGGAGCGAAAGCGUGGGGACGAACAGGAUUAGAUACCCUAGUAGUCC
rnacentral:rRNA from 1 species